rnacentral:rRNA from 1 species
AGAGACAGCAGCCGCCGCGGGAAUACGAAGGGUGCAAGCGUUAAUCGGAAUUACUGGGCGUAAAGCGUGCGUAGGCGGUGAGUUAAGUCUGCUGUGAAAUCCCCCGGCUCAACCGGGGAACGGGCGCGGAUACGACUCUUCUGGAGGAACGUAGGGGGACCUGGAACUUCCGGUGGAGCGGUGAAAUGCGUUGAGAUCGGAAGGAACGCCCGUGGCGAAAGCGAGGUCCUGGACGUUUACUGACGCUGAGACGCGAAAGCCAGGGGAGCGAACGGGAUUAGAUACCCGAGUAGUCCCUGUCUCUUAUAC